rnacentral:sRNA from 1 species
CAUUUAUAUUAGCAGUCAUGUAAUCACCCGAUUCGGGUGGUCGACGCAACAGCUUAAUCGGA